rnacentral:rRNA from 1 species
AGUGAACGCUGGCGGUAGGCCUAACACAUGCAAGUCGAACGGCAGCACAGUAAGAGCUUGCUCUUACGGGUGGCGAGUGGCGGACGGGUGAGGAAUACAUCGGAAUCUACUUUUUCGUGGGGGAUAACGUAGGGAAACUUACGCUAAUACCGCAUACGACCUACGGGUGAAAGCAGGGGAUCUUCGGACCUUGCGCGAUUGAAUGAGCCGAUGUCGGAUUAGCUAGUUGGCGGGGUAAAGGCCCACCAAGGCGACGAUCCGUAGCUGGUGUGAGAGGAUGAUCAGCCACACUGGAACUGAGCCACGGUCCUGGCUCCUACGGGAGGCAGCAGUGGGGAAUAUUGGACAAUGGGGGCAAGCCUGGUCCAGCCAUACCGCGUGGGUGAAGAAGGCCUUCCGGUUGUAAAGCCCUUUUGUUGGGAAAGAAAAGCAGCAGGUUAAUACCCCGCUGUUCUGACGGUACCCAAAGAAUAAGCACCGGCUAACUUCGUG